GCCAUGGCCAGCCUCUACUUCCCUACUCUCUCCCUCUCUCUUUCUUUCUACAAUAAAAGCUUUAUUAAAGCCAAUAAAAAACCAUGGAUUGCCUCUUCACAUCAGGAUCCGCUUUGCUGGAACAAUGGAGCAGGACUUCCCCUAAUGAGCUGCCUGUCUAACCUCCGGGAGGCCUUCCUGCAGCAACAGCCGCCACCAACCCAAGCGCCCACGCACUGAGCAAGCCACCAAGAUUCCACGGACCCAUCCUCCAACUGACAUUAAAAGAAAGAAGACUGUUUCUACAGCUUACAGAAAAUAUCAAGCUGCAGCUUUCUUGCUGAGAAGAUCUGAACACUACUUUAAUUUCCCAGCCAGGAGCUGGUGUUUCAUCAUGGACCAGGCAUAUUAAGUGGUUGUGGAAAUGGAAGACCACAAUGCAGGCCAUAUGGCAGCAUUUCUUUGCAGAAGAGAAGAGACCUUCAAAUCAAACAGUGAAGUCUCAGAGCCGUUGGAUGUCACAGUUACUAGUUUGGAGUUAAGAGCAGGAAAUGUCUUUAUCUCUUUUGACCUUCUUCCUUGUAUGGUCAUGAUGGGUCCACUUAAAGUUUAAAUUUUUUUUUUUUUUAAAAAACACCAAUCUGGAUAAACUCUAAAUCUAUUAAUCUCUGAAUGGGAUACUCACAAAUUUCAAUUCAAAAUGGAAGGCAAAAGCUACUUCCCCCAAGCUCCCAUGGUCAUAUCUUAAGAUCUGCUUCAUUUUGGGAUAAAUCGGAAUGUUUUUAGUACAUUAAAAUGUGUUUUCUAAAGUAAACAAUUGGUCUCAUAUCAUUUGUUUCACUAACUUAGGGCUACAUUCUGUUCUCCUGUUUACGUAGCCCAUGUCAUAGUUAUUAUGGAUUGUAAACUUACCCAGGAGACUGAACAAUGGAGAUGCUCUUGAGGGAGUUUCUACAGUGAAAUCACUGAUGUAGAAAGACCUCUUAAAUGUGGGCAGUUGACAUUCAGUGGCCUAGGCUUCCAUGAGAAUGGAGCACCAACACUCAUCUUCUUAUGCUCUCUGACUGGGAAAAGAGUGUAACUAACUACCUGCUUCUGAUGCCAUAAUAUUUUACCUCAAUGGACUGUACGUUCAAACUAUAACUAAAAAUAUACAGUUCUUUUUAAAGCUGUUUUUGUUUGGGGUUGAGUUGCAGCAAUCAGACUGAUAUAUAUAUAUAUAUAUAUGUAUAUACAUAUACAUAUAUAUAUAUAUAUAUAUAUGUCUCACCCAACAUUUAUAAUUUAUAAUUCAACUCAAAAGUUUCAUUAUUCAGCUAGCAAAAAUAAAGUUCCAAUUUGAUCC